GUUUUGAAGGGUUUUUGACUUCUUGAGUUUUUCUUACUCUGGUCUCUUCAAGAGAUUUCUUCUUCUUCUUCUUCUUCUUCUUCUUCUUCUUCUUCUUCUUCUUCUAUUUUGGUUUUGAUUCUUGUGGUUUUUCAUGAGAUCAUUGUAAUUUUAGAAGUAUCCUGUGAAACUCUUUGUGCUACGGUAACUUUGGCCGGUUGUUUGGCCUUUGGUGUGCCGGGUUUGGUCCGGUAGUUUGAGUUUCUUAUUGUUUUGGUGAUUGAGGGUUGAUUUGUGUGAGAUCCUUUGGAUCGAUGAUCAAACCCAGUGUCUGAGUGUGGUUCCAAAGUUGUCAUUGUCUCUUGGAGGGUUAUUUUUGCACAUAGUGGACGGGCUUGCCUCUGAGCCCCCUCCCCCCCCCCCCGAUUAGGCAUUUUAGCCGAACUGGGUGAACAAGAUUUUGUGUUCUUUAUUGUUUUCGUUGAAUGAUUGGCCAUAUUUCACACGAGCACACAAAAGAACGUCGAAAUUCCUAACAAAUUCUGGUAUCAGAGCCUAGGGUUUCUGGAACACCAAGCCACAGUCUACUCCAAGAGAAUCGUAUUCUUGAUCCACAUUUACUGAUAUUUUUGUUACUAAAUAUUUUUCUUGGAACUGUUAUUGAUUGAUUUUUUUAAGUGCAGUGGCUGAAAGCCAUAACUGGAGAAACAUGACUCUUGGACAUGAAAGGUGGAUUGAGUAUGUGUAAUCUAAUAAAUCAACCUUGCUGUGGAUGAGAUUGUUUUAACUGCCUUUAUUCAUAAACUGAAAAGCAUGGUCUUGGUGUUCUUGAAAUUAGAUAAUACUAGUUAAUAAAUUUUGAGAACAACUUUUGUCUUGUAUAUGAUAUCUAUAUAAGAUGAUCUUUAAGCAUGUUUUAAGUUGGUAAUCUCAAUAUACUGUAUUACGUGGUCUUGAGAUUGGUUACUGGUUGACUGUACUGUGAUAGCUUGCAUACUCUUUUGAAUACUACAUUGUCAUUCUUGCAUCUGUUUACCUUUUUAAUUGUUGUAAAAGUUUUUUCAAAACCUUUUCUGCACUUAAGUGAUUAAUAAUUAAGAAUCACUAAUGUCCACUAGUAAUCAUCAAUCUUUUAUAGAACUUGUAAUGGGUUCGAAGGUCGAGUUAUCUCAAUUUGAUGGAAAGGGAGAUUACUCGAUAUGGAAGCAGAAAAUGAGGGCUAUAUUAGUCCAACAAAGGGUCGCUAAGGCCCUGGAUGAUCCUGCAAUAUUUUCUAAUGAAUUAAAGGCUAAACCUGAUGAAAUUCAAGAAAUGAAUGACAUUGCUUACAGUUCAAUUAUCUUACAUUUAUCUGAUAAUAUUGUGAGACAAGUUGAAGAAUCUAAAACACCUAGAGCCUUGUGGACUGCACUUGAUGCAUUGUUCUUGAUCAAGACACUGCCUAAUAAAAUCUAUUUGCUAGAAAAAUUAUUUAGUUUCAAGAUGGACAUUGGAAAAGACCUUGAAGCAAACUUCGGUGAUUUUAGCAUUCUGGUAGAGAGUCUUGCACACAAUGACAAAAAAUUUGAUGAUGAAGACAUUACUGUUAUAUUACUUAACUCAUUACCUAAAUCUUAUAGAGAUAUAAGAAAUGUCAUAAAAUACUCAAGGGGUGACUUAACUCAGUCUAUAGUAACAAAUGCUUUGAGAGUUAGAAAACUAGAGGUCAAGAAAGAAUCUAAAUCUCACACAAGAGAGGAAAGCAUGUUUGUGAGAAGAAGGUCUGAAAAGAAAGACAACUAUACCCAGAACAGAAAAUUUAGAUCUAAAUCCAGAGGUAGAUCCAAAUCUAGGGAUAAAAGUAAUAAAAAACGCUAUCACUG
rnacentral:lncRNA from 1 species